GACUACUGGGGUAUCUAAGCCUGUUCGCUCCCCACGCUUUCGUGCCUCAGCGUCAGUUACAGUCCAGAAAGCCGCCUUCGCCACUGGUGUUCCUCCUAAUAUCUACGCAUUUCACCGCUACACUAGGAAUUCCGCUUUCCUCUCCUGCACUCUAGUUCAGCAGUUUUAAAUGCAACUCCCGAGUUAAGCCCGGGGAUUUCACAUCUAACUUACCAAACCGCCUACGCACCCUUUACGCCCAGUAAUUCCGGACAACGCUUGCCCCCUACGUAUUACCGCGGCUGCUGGCACGUAGUUAGCCGGGGCUUCCUCCUAGGGUACCGUCACUUUCUUCGUCCCCUAGGACAGAGGUUUACAAUCCGAAAACCUUCUUCCCUCACGCGGCGUUGCUGGGUCAGAGUUGCCUCCAUUGCCCAAUAUUCCCCACUGCAGCCCCCCGUAGG
rnacentral:rRNA from 1 species